rnacentral:rRNA from 1 species
AGCGAACGCUGGCGGCAGGCUUAACACAUGCAAGUCGAGCGGGCAUCCUUGUGGUGUCAGCGGCAGACGGGUGAGUAACGCGUGGGAACGUGCCCUUCGGUUCGGAAUAACUCAGGGAAACUUGAGCUAAUACCGGAUACGUGCGAGAGCAGAAAGGUUUAUCUGCCGAAGGAUCGGCCCGCGUCUGAUUAGCUAGUUGGUGAGGUUAUGGCUCACCAAGGCGACGAUCAGUAGCUGGUCUGAGAGGAUGAUCAGCCACACUGGGACUGAGACACGGCCCAGACUCCUACGGGAGGCAGCAGUGGGGAAUAUUGGACAAUGGGGGCAACCCUGAUCCAGCCAUGCCGCGUGAGUGAUGACGGCCUUAGGGUUGUAAAGCUCUUUUCUGCGGGACGAUAAUGACGGUACCGGAGGAAUAAGCCCCGGCUAACUUCGUG